UUACGCACACCUGCGCGCGGUUCAAAAUCGCAUUUCCUGCACAGCAGCUUCAUGUUUAAACAAUGAAAUAAAACAGUUGUGGAAUUCAGUCCAAUAGCCGUUAGAAAACAUCUAGAAAAAUAAUCUUUGUUUGCUAAAAGUGGAACGUUUUUCUCCUUUUGUCUCUUGAUGGAGGUUAUGGAUCUGCUUCACCUCAAACAGAUAAGUAACUUUACUUUUGUUUUUUAUUAAAAAAAAAGUGUCACUUCAGUAUUACUACAGUCUCUCUUCAUUGACGAUUUUCUAGUAAACUAAAAAUUUUUUUUCUAUCCGUCACUGAAAGAGAAACCUCAUUUGCAGAAAAACAAAACUACUUUUUCAGCAGUAAAUUUAAGUUCACAUUUAACCGUUUAGCAAUAACAACAAAGUUUAAAAGCAUUUAAAGACAUGACUCUUAAUGAAGUAAGUUAAGUGAAUUCAAAGCUUUUGAUAUAUUCAACUUAUUUUUAUUUUUAAUUUAAACAUAACAAAAGUUAGACAAAUAUCAAAUCAGAUUAUUUUUGGAUUAAAAGUUAUUUACCGCAAGAAGAACAACUUGUUGCAACAGGAGUGUGUUUGUUUAUCUAUGGCGUUCCACAGGGUUUAAUGUUGGGCCCAAUAUUUUACCCCCCGCUCUUUCUGUAAUUUUUUGUUUGCUUUGUCAUAGUUUUUAAAGAUAGCGCUGUUUGUUUAUGAUAAAAACAUCUUUUUUUAAAAAGAAAAAACUUUUUUUUUUAAUUUGAAGAAUGAGAAAUUAGAAAGGAAUAAAAUCUCAUAAGACUGGCGAUCAAAGAAGGCAUUUACAGACCAAACUAAUCCUUUUUAUUCUCAACAUAUCUGGGAUGAUAAAUCACUGCACAUGUUGCAUCGAUGUCCUAACAUUUUUUUUUUUUUUUUUUUUUUUUUUUUUUUUUUUUAACAUUUUUCAACUGUUGGACAGAAAUUUGGUUUAAUAUUCAUGCAAAAUGGAUAAAAGUUUCCUGAAUCAUGACAGUUUGUAUUUUUCACAGAUUUGUUUUUCUAGAACCCUUCUCACUUAUUUAUCUUGUGGUUAAUUAUAAACUAUUAUCAUAUUAGCAACUUUGAGGUUUUUUUUAUAAAUAAUAAUUUUUUCACAAUAAAUUUAGUUUUUAAUCAAACAGCAAACUAUUUGGUUGCAUUUUUUGCCGAUUGUGGAACAGCACGAGUGAGAACAUUAAGAAAACCUUCUACUGGAUUAGUUUAUAAAAUCUUUACCAGAAACUUCUUUUUUGGUGGAAAAUUAUUGAAAACUUGCUUUCUGUUCAGUUAGUUCUUUGUGGUUGUUUGUAUCUCCACACAUUUCUUAUUGCCAUUUACUAUAAGUGUGUUUAAAAAAAAACCUUCCAAAAUCAAAUCAGCUUUAAUCUUUAAAGCUGGAGGACAGAUUGGAUUUAUCUGCCCUUGAUUCUGAAAACACUAAAGCAGUUUGGCCCACAGAGAAAAUGAUGGACAUUUGACCAACGUUGACAUGUUUGAGCGUAAAGAUCCGGCGUGAACAAACUUUUGGUUGAAUGUGGUCACAAAUACUAGAUGAUUUUGUUUUUCAUUCUCUAUAGAUUUUAGAAGAGGUUUAGAGUUCUGUUUGUGUCAAAACUGCAACAGAAAUGUAGUCGUAGUUCUAUAAGCUGAAGAGACACCUGGGUGGACAAAACCUCAAAUCUCGAAAGAGCAGCAGUUUAAACGCGUUGACUCAGCUUUCUUCUGAUGCUGUGACAUCAUCUGGUUAGAUACCUGUUGGACACAAAGAUUUGUCUCCUGAACCUGAAACAAAGCAGCGUUAUGCCUUUGACAGUGUCCGCUUGACGGCAACAUUUGCAUCCAGACUGUUGAGUCCUCGUUGGUCUGAAAUAAUCCCCUGAUCAUUAAGCGUGACAUUCCAGGUUCGGGAGCAAAGCAUGAUGGUUAAGAUGGAGUAACUCGUGUUAAAGGCUGAAACGACGACAAAGCUGCAAAUGGUUCUUGGUGAUUGCUCUGGAGAGAGCUGCAGGCUUCUUUAACGAGCACAAUGAAGGCGGGAGAGCGUUCCGGUCUGAAAGAAUCCUCCACCACCUGCUGAUGAGCAUCCAGAGACGGAUGCUAUGAUCGUUUCGCUCUCAUGAAACACUCAACAAAUAAACAAUGAAAAUAUGUCUGCAGGUUGUGUGUUUACUAGAGUAAGAGGGGUUUUCAGGCUGCAACUUAAGUUCAAAUCGAUGCGAAAUGCACAGAGGACAUUUUUAGUAUUUGAUUUGCUAUAAUCUUGUACAUUGGACUAAAAGCUGUGUGUUUUCUAGAGCCCAACUCUAGUUUCAUUUAAAAAAGGAGAGAAUAUAGGAAUACAAGUAAAGACUGAAGUGUUUUAUAGAAAAUUUAACAUGAAAAUAAGUAUUAUCUUUGCCGGUUAGGCCAUUGACUGUAUAUGAGAACUGGAAUGAGUGACUCCUCCCCCCCCUGGCAUUCCAAACAGGAAGUACCCGCUGGCUUCAAGAAGCCAAAGACUCCUGGAGAGAAAUAAACAGCUGGUAGUCAUUCUGUUUAUCAGAAUAAGCAUUCUUGCUCCGAUAUCUUAUUAGUAACUCGUCCUCACUAAUUCUCUUUUCUUUUUUCUGUUGUUCAGGUUAUUCAAGUAAAACACUGACCAUUCAGAUGUCUCAAAAGGAUGUGGUGCCUGAUGGGCCCCACAUCCAGACUAGAACCGUUUGACAGAUUUCCAUCAAGCCGAUUGUCCCGCUCGAUUGGUCCAGUUCUCAUUUACAGUCAAUGAUGACGUCUGGUGAGGUUGGGAUGAACUCGGACCGUAGACGGAUGAACCUGAAAGACGCUGAUGGCGGUUGGAGGCAAGACGACGGAAGGGCGUCGGUCCAGGUGGAGAACGUGGUGGAGGAGGGCUACGGUGGCCGUUUUGGUUCCGCUUCCAGGACGGACUGUAUUCAGUUCCAAUCGGAAAUGAACCGACACCAGCUCAAAAGAUGGGUCCCAGAGCGGUUCCUGGUACUUGACCAAGGUCCGCUUUAAGCGAACCAAAUGUAUCCAGUCUGAAUACAGCCUGAAUCCGUUUUUCUUUUCAACAAACCUGCUCAUUGAGGACUGGAAGGAUCAGAGCCGUCUGGCGGCGCCACGGCCUUUUCAAGCGCUCUGCUCCAAACUCUGCAUAGUUUCAUAUCAUGACCCACAUGAGCCGGUUUAACGGGGCUGAAAUCAGGUCUGUCCUCAGGGUCUUGUCAAUACAUAAUUAAAACAGGAAGCAGACACACUUCCUUUGUGUUGCAGCUGCUGUUGUUGGAGGGUUGUGGGUUAGAAGCUGUGAAUGUUUAUAGUUGCUCCUGAUGUGAGUUUGUGUUUCCAGAGAUCUACUCGGGAACAAACGGUUGAGUCAUUUCCAAAACCCGCAGCUGCUUUCUGUGUUCUGCAGAAUUUGACCAACAUUUGGUGCCGUUUACGGUUUAGUGCUGUUGCUGUGGGAUGUUUGGAAGGCCAGGAUUGAGAAACCUCCACUCAAACAAUCAAAGCAGCCCUCUAUCUUGAUGUAGAGAAACGCUUUCCAAACAGCUUUUCAGAAUAAAAGCAGAUGACUUAGAAAUUAAUUGUAACCAUUAAAAGAAAGAAAGGGGUGGGGCUAUGGGGGGGGGGCAAGGGGGGCAGCUGCCCCCAACAGCAAAAACCUCUGCCCCACACUCGCCCCCCCCAACUUUUAUGUCAUCAUUAUUAACAAAGAUAAAGUAAUCUUAAAUCCCUUAGAGAAAUUAAGGGAUUUAAAAAUAACCAAAGUAAUAUUAUUAAAUUAUAGUAAAACAAUAAUAUUAAAACGGUUAAAAAUACACAUUUUUAAUCCUUUUAGUCGUGAUGACCUUUCAUCUGUUGUUUUGAAGUUUAAGCAAAAAUAACAACCAUUAAGUAUGAUUGUAUAAAAACCACACGGGACUUUUUUUUUCUUAAAGUGAUCAAUUUCAUAAUAAAAGUGUUGAAUUAUUGUUUAAAAUAUUACAACAAACAUUGAGAUUCAAAAUUUAAAAUGCUCCAAAACCGAAAAAUGUUCAAACGAAUUUGGUAACAAAGAAAGAACUUAAAGACCAACUCUGAAAAUUGUGUAUUUAACAUGUUCUUGUAGCAUUAUUCUGUUGAUGCUACAUCAGAAAAUGGAGCUUUAUUUUUUUAUUGCAGCUAGCAGGACAGCAUGUAAACAAGGCGCUCUCGGCAAUGGGGAGGGAAAGGGGGGGGCAGGUUUUUCUGCACCAAUAGUCCCCCGACACCUCAGAGGUAAAUUUCUAAUGAAUUCCUGCCGCUCUGCAGAAACUAUGUCCUACAAAAUGACUUUUUAAAAUGUUUUGGCUAAAAACGGCAUCAUCCAAAGACUAAUGGGAACACUUUAAAACAGAUCAGAAGAUGAUCAGAGCUGGACUUUAUCAGUUUCAGGUUAGCAACAGUGUCAUUUUCCAUCAUUUUUGUAUGGUUUUUGUUCAAAUGUAAUAAAGCUUUUUGAUAUAUUUGUUGACA